rnacentral:rRNA from 1 species
CAGUCGCCACGGUAAUACGGAGGGGGCUAGCGUUGUUCGGAAUUACUGGGCGUAAAGCGCACGUAGGCGGCUUGGUAAGUUAGAGGUGAAAGCCCGGAGCUCAACUCCGGAAUUGCCUUUAAGACUGCCGAGCUAGCAGGUGAGAGAGGUAAGUGGAAUUCCGAGUGUAGAGGUGAAAUUCGUAGAUAUUCGGAAGAACACCAGUGGCGAAGGCGGCUUACUGGCUCAUACUGGACGCUGAGGUGCGAAAGCGUGGGGAGCAAACAGGAUUAGAUACCCCUGUAGUCCCUGUCUCUUAUAC